GAUGAAGAACGUAGCGAAGUGCGAUAAGUAAUGUGAAUUGCAGAAUUCCGUGAAUCAUCGAAUCUUUGAACGCAAAUUGCACUCUCUGGUAUCCCGGGGAGUAUGCCUGUUUGAGGGUCAGUGUUAAUAAAAAUCGGUGCGUUGCACUUUAUUGUGACGUUCUGGAGUUUGAGUUAUCUUAACUUUUAGGUUAAGAGGCUUAAAAUUGACCUUUUUUUUGUGCAUUUUAGACGUACAUAAAUUUUCUUUUAUUUGUCUUUUAAUGCCAAAAUUAUAUUAGAUGCGACCAUAUCGUGUGGUUUCGUGUCUAUAAAUUUUUCAUGAUUUGACCUCAAAUCAGGUAGGAGUACCCGCUGAACUUAAGCAUAUCAACAAGCGGAGGA
rnacentral:misc_RNA from 1 species